CCUACGGGAGGCAGCAGUGGGGAAUAUUGGACAAUGGGCGAAAGCCUGAUCCAGCAAUGCCGCGUGAGUGAUGAAGGCCUUCGGGUCGUAAAGCUCUUUUACCAGGGAUGAUAAUGACAGUACCUGGAGAAUAAGCUCCGGCUAACUCCGUGCCAGCAGCCGCGGUAAUACGGAGGGAGCUAGCGUUGUUCGGAAUUACUGGGCGUAAAGAGUACGUAGGCGGUUAUUCAAGUCAGAGGUGAAAGCCCGGGGCUCAACCCCGGAACUGCCUUUGAAACUAGAUAACUAGAGUCUUGGAGAGGUUAGUGGAAUUCCGAGUGUAGAGGUGAAAUUCGUAGAUAUUCGGAAGAACACCAGUGGCGAAGGCGACUAACUGGACAAGUACUGACGCUGAGGUACGAAAGCGUGGGGAGCAAACAGGAUUAGGUACCCUGGUAGUCCACGCCGUAAACGAUGAUAACUAGUUGUCCGGUCACUUGGUGACUGGGUGACGCAGCUACGACAUAAGUUAUCCGUCCGUCGGGUAGGUACGGUCGCGAGAAUAAACUAACGAAGAAGUAGACGGCGUGAGACGUGCCGACGACGACGACGAGGGGAGGUAGG
rnacentral:rRNA from 1 species